GUAAACAUUGAGCACAUAAUGUAUUUGUGUUUUGAGCAUGGUCAAAAGUUAUGAUUGGCUACCGGUGCUGCCACUAAUGAAGCAACGGCGGAUUUAACUUCCACCAAAGGGGAAGAACCAAUAAAAAACUCGGUGAUGUCAAACGGUGCAGGCAUCAGCGGUUGCCUGUAACAGCGGCUUUCGCUGUUCUCAUACGGACACAUUAUUGUUUUUUUUUUUUGUAUAUACAGGCCUGCACUUGUAAAUGUUUAUUCGCUGUUAACCGUAAUUAGAGAACAAGCGGGCGUUUAAGCUUCAUACACAGAGUCGUGUAGUCUGGCUAUCAAUACAUAAAAUGGAGGACUCGCCGAGUCCUCAAGAUACUCUCUCGCAAAUCUGGAUGCUAUACACGGCCAAGAACGAGCAAAAGUAUUUUGAAGACUAUGCUUACCAUUUUCUUGAUAUUUACAAAAAUGUGCUGAAAUCUGAAUUUCAUGAUUCAUCUAAUGCUGACAUUCAACAACUUAAUUAAAGAGACCGUCCAGAAGAGUUGUAGGAGAUUCCGAAGUCAUCUGGAGGCUGUGGUUGAAGCCAAUGGCGAUUUUAUUGAAUAAAUUUACUCUUUAGCAUUUCAAGAGAUUUUUAUGUAAUUUUGGUAAAUAUAUUUGUUAAAAUGA